GUGAGGAAUGCCUGAUGUCGCCUUGCUGGCUGGCUGCCCAUAUCCUUGGAGGAGAUGGAUGCUAACUGUGCCUCUGGUAGCCUUAAAGCCCAUUGAUGUUCUGUCUGUACCUUGGCAUCCAGCCUGAAUGACAUCUCCAGGAACCUCUCUAACCUUCCACCAGCUGACAUCUCUGCCUCCUCUGGACCUCUCCAGCCCUACCAGGGCCUUACCCGUAUUCUGCCUUGCUUUUUAUCUAAGACCCAAAAAAUUUAAUAAAACUAACAUUUGGCAUUCA